rnacentral:rRNA from 1 species
GACGAACGCUGGCGGCGUGCUUAACACAUGCAAGUCGAACGGAAAGGCCCUGCUUUUGUGGGGUGCUCGAGUGGCGAACGGGUGAGUAACACGUGAGUAACCUGCCCUUGACUUUGGGAUAACUUCAGGAAACUGGGGCUAAUACCGGAUAGGAGCUCCUGCUGCAUGGUGGGGGUUGGAAAGUUUCGGCGGUUGGGGAUGGACUCGCGGCUUAUCAGCUUGUUGGUGGGGGAGUGGCUUACCAAGGCUUUGAAGGGUAGCCGGCCUGAGAGGGUGACCGGCCACAUUGGGACUGAGAUACGGCCCAGACUCCUACGGGAGGCAGCAGUGGGGAAUAUUGCACAAUGGGCGGAAGCCUGAUGCAGCAACGCCGCGUGCGGGAUGACGGCCUUCGGGUUGUAAACCGCUUUCGCCUGUGACGAAGCGUGAGUGACGGUAAUGGGUAAAGAAGCACCGGCUAACUACGUG